GAUUCCCACGUGACCUUGAGCCUUCCUGGGGGCCCAGCUUGCCUACGCUCACUUGACUCAGCUGGCCUGCCACUCACUACCCCCAGGCCCUCCUGCCCAAGGGACCAUUGCCCUUCGAUGUCCACCCAACCACGCAGCCAGGACCAGCCCCUCCAGUGUCCUCACUGCUCUGCCUCACACCUCUCGUGCUUCUGGGAGCAUGCCAGUUUCCAGCUCCCAUGGAGGCAGGGCCAAAGCACUGAUUAAAGAGAACUAGGGAGCUCGAAGCAGAGAACGUAAGGUUGGGAGUGGUAAUAAUAUUAGUAUAAACAAUACCAAUAACACCAAUAAUAAUAGCUUCUCCUACUGAUUGAGAGCUAUACGUUCUAUGAUACCCUGAACUUCCCAUGUCUUAGCUCUUACCACGUUAAGUCAGUCAGCAUCUAACAGAAACUUCUUUCAAUAGAGGGAAUUAAAUGCAGGGAUAAACCUGGUUUCCCAGGGUAUGAAACGAGAGGAGAACUGCACUGGGACUGGAGACGUCUCCCAGAGAUCAGUAACAGCAGGAAGCUCCUGGCAGCCCUAGGCUGGAGGAACAACAGAGGAGGUGGUGUGACCUCGGCCCAGGAACCAUGGUGGCCACCAGCAGGAAGCACCACACAGGAAGUCCCCUGGCCACUGCCAGGGAAGCCAAAUAUCCUGUUUCCCGCUUCGUCCCACCUACGGAUCUUCCUCUAAUACCCCCAUUGGCCAAACUCAGCUAGAAGCCGGCUGAGAUGGGAGCUGCUGGGUCCACACCAUCUGCUCCCCCACCCACCCCCCAGUGUGGUUCCGAGCUGAGCAGGCAGGCCCAGGGCGGCCCACAUGCUUCACUGAAAGUGCCUGUCAAUCACUUGAAUCCCCCCAAGACUGUAAGGGGCUGUAUCUGUCUCUCCAGCUCCCAGCACACUGCCUGACGUAUGGUCCAUACUCAACUAUAUGCUCAGAAAUGAAUAAAGUAACAUCACCCUUAUUUUUCAGAUGAGGAAACUGACGUUCAGGGAAGCUAAGAACACUGCCCAAGCUCACAGGACUAGUGGAUGCAGAACCAGGACUCAAAUCAGAGCCCAGCUCCUUUCUACAUCCCACGCUGUUUGCGUGUGGGGCUGCCUAUGAAUGAAGACCAGCUGAAGCUGGGGAGUGGCGCCGCUUCACAAACAGGGAGGAGCGGUGCAUCACUGGCAGCGCCUGGAGGAUGCACUGAGUCAGGGGAGAAACAUCCACGGGGAUGAGCAGUCAGGCACUCUCAGCCCUGGGCCCUCCAAGCUCGCAGGGCUGGAGGUCACUCAUACACACAAAAGAUGGGGAAAUUACCCGAAACCGCCUUUCAGCUCUAUAUCCUUCCCGAAGACGGUGGAGUUGGAUAUAAGGAUGGCUCAAGAUUACAAGCAGAACCACACUGUCAUCCUCCUCCAUAUAAAUCCGCUUCGUAAAAAAUAUGGCCCAAACCACAGCGGGCUGGAAUCUAGGCAAGCCCUCCUCUGCCGGUGACCUGGGACUAGUAUUCUUGUUGCAUUCUGCAGCAGGGCGGCACGAAGUUACCAGCAGGCGACAGGCAGCCUUCCGUCUCGGGAACUGCGGCUCCGGGUUGCAGCGGCACUUGCGGACAUCAGCGGAAGCUUCAGACACCCUCGCGUGCGCCAGCACUCGGCCUCCGUAAGGCAAGGCAUCGGAUGGCGUGAGACCACGAGGUCUGGUGAGGAGUUGCAGGAACAGCCACUUGCUUUGAAAAUGCUAUUUUAAAAAAUUAAUAACCUUAAUGAGCAGAUGCAAAAUAUUCUACUCUAGCUUGGGGCAAUUUUUUUCUUUGGCCAUAAUCCAAGCCUGAGGGUGCGGGGGCGCCGUCUGCCCCUCCCCACGUCCCUCCCACGGGCCCCUCAGUGGAGCAGCAGCGGAAGUGGGGCUGCUGGACAGGAAGGUCCACAGGAGAGAGGAGGAAACCCCCGUGGGAAGGAAGGAGGACGUUCUUCAGUGAAAGUGAGGGGCCCCUCGCUCCACUUUACACUUCCCACCCAGGGCCAGCAUCGUGGCGUACAACUGUGCAGGUACACAGGCCUCACAUUCAGAAGGAACCCAGGCUUGUUUUAAUGCUCUGCCUUCACUAUCUUGAAAUUCUUAAUUUUAAACAAGGGCUCCACGUUUUCAUUUUGCACUGGGUCCCACAAAUUACGUAGCCAGUCCUGGUUCCAACUCUCUCAGGAGAGAAAGACCACAAAAUGUGCACCAGGUCUGAGAGCUCUUGUUAGAAAGUGGCUGUCACCAUCACCAAAAUGUUGUUUGUUGUCCCUCUUUAUUGGAAGGCCACUGGGUCAGUUCACAGCCUGGCUGGCAGCAACUGAGUUGCCCUUAAUGUGUCCCACGGAUGUGGGCUCCUUCUGGGGUGGAAACCCCUGCAGUGCCAUUGCCCCGUAUAACGCCUCUGCAGCAGGGACUGUCCACUGCCUGCUGGCUUCAUGGGCAACCCAGAGCAGGGGGUCAAACCUCGGUGCCUCCGCUGUCCUGGGUCAAACCCUGCUGCUGAGAAGCACUGGCUCCUGCUCUCUGUUGGCUGUGGCUGCCUCCACUGCAGAAGCACAAACAUGGGCCAUCGCCAACCCAGGGAACACAGGCAGGAGUCCAGCCCUGUCCCAGCUGACCCUGGAGGCGAGAAACCCCUGCAGGAGGGGAGAAGAGCAGUUCACCUGGUCACUGCUGUCCCUGAUGAUCUCACCUUUGGCACCUUCUGCUCGGUCUUGAUCUCGACAAACCAGGUGAACUGUGCCACCUGGUGGAAAUCAUCGAAAUCAUCUGUGAGUUAUAGUCAUGGCUAUAGCUAUGGAGGCCAGCUUUUCCAAAUGAAGAAUUUAAGAUAUAUGGCUCACAGAAAGAAGACCUGAAAUUGAGACUAUUCUGGAAAUCUAGAUGGAUGCUCCCCACAGUUAGAGCAGCAGGCAUAAUAUUGAGGGUGAUCCUGGAACCUGCCCUCCUGCAUACCUGGUCUGACUGACAGUGCCUCUGGGAUGAUGUCCUGAUUUUUUUAAGGAUCUGAACACAUGAAGGAUGAGAAGCGUCAGUCUUGGUCACAUCUGCAUCCCUAGCAUCUCC
ensembl:lncRNA